rnacentral:rRNA from 1 species
UUUCUAUGGAAGCUUGCUUCCACUGAGAAGAUAGUGGCGGACGGGUGAGUAACACGUGGGUAACCUGCCCAUAAGAGGGGGAUAACAUCCGGAAACGGGUGCUAAUACCGCAUAGUUUUCUUGGUCGCAUGAUCGAGAAAGGAAAGACGGCCUUUGUGCUGUCGCUUAUGGAUGGACCCGCGGCGUAUUAGUUAGUUGGUGAGGUAACGGCUCACCAAGACGAUGAUACGUAGCCGACCUGAGAGGGUGAUCGGCCACAUUGGGACUGAGACACGGCCCAAACUCCUACGGGAGGCAGCAGUAGGGAAUCUUCCGCAAUGGACGAAAGUCUGACGGAGCAACGCCGCGUGAGUGAAGAAGGUUUUCGGAUCGUAAAACUCUGUUGUCAGAGAAGAACAAGUCGGAGAGUAACUGCUCCGGCCUUGACGGUAUCUGACCAGAAAGCCACGGCUAACUACGUGCCAGCAGCCGCGGUAAUACGUAGGUGGCAAGCGUUGUCCGGAUUUAUUGGGCGUAAAGCGAGCGCAGGCGGUUCCUUAAGUCUGAUGUG